rnacentral:rRNA from 1 species
GAGUUUGAUCGUGGCUCAGGAUGAACGCUAGCGGCAGGCUUAAUACAUGCAAGUCGUGGGGCAGCACAGGUAGCAAUACUGGGUGGCGACCGGCAAACGGGUGCGGAACACGUACGCAACCUUCCCAAAACUGGUGAAUAGCCCUCCGAAAGGAGGAUUAAUACACCGUAACAUAAUGAAAUGGCAUCGUUUUAUUAUUAUAGCUCCGGCGGUUUUGGAUGGGCGUGCGCCUGAUUAGGUAGUUGGCGGGGUAACGGCCCACCAAGCCUGCGAUCAGUAACUGGUGUGAGAGCACGACCAGUCACACGGGCACUGAGACACGGGCCCGACUCCUACGGGAGGCAGCAGUAAGGAAUAUUGGUCAAUGGACGCAAGUCUGAACCAGCCAUGCCGCGUGAAGGAUGAAGGUCCUCUGGAUUGUAAACUUCUUUUAUAGGGGACGAAAAAAGGGAUUCUUUCUCACUUGACGGUACCCUAGGAAUAAGCACCGGCUAACUCCGUGCCAGCCGCCGCCGUAAC